rnacentral:ncRNA from 1 species
ACAAAUGCGAAGAUGGGAAGAGUACAAAAGGAAACCUCUUGUAGAGAGCCGGGAAUGGUGGAAGCCUGGCAGUAAGGACCUUUUCGAAAAACGACCCGUAGCAUCCCUUUGGAAGGAAGAGUACAGAGGGACGGACCUGCCGUUAUCGGAUAAAGUUGACAGGGCACAGCUCUGUAAAUUGGGUGGUACCGCGAGAUCCUCGUCCCUUUG